rnacentral:RNase_P_RNA from 3 species
AUUUUAUGGAAGAUGAUCGCUCCGACGUCACGUCGGAGAGGAAAGUCCGAACUCUAAUUCGCUGAUGAGGCGAAGAAAGGUAGUGGAUAACGUCCACCCCUCGAGCUGUGAAGUUUCGGGGCGGGAAAGCGCCACAGAGACAAUACUACCCUGACGUAACGUUGGGGGAAAGGUGAAAAGUGUAUAGAAGUUUUUGAUCUCGAGUCAAAAGUUACUAUACUCUCCGUUCCGUGAGGAAUUGGAGUGGCAAGCCCUACCUGGAGAAAGAGCAGCGCGCCGAUGAGGCUGCGAAAAGUUAGCUCGUUUGAUCACGUAGAGUAAUUUACGUGGCAGAGAAAUGAUCAUCCUCGACAAAAUUCGGCUUAUAUCCAUAGAAUGAAU